UGGGGUAUAGUUCAGGCGUAGAGCUCUCGCUUCGCAUGCGAUAGGUCUGGGGUUUGAUUUCCCAUACCUCCA
rnacentral:tRNA from 1 species